CUUCCCCCUUCGAAGUUAGAGCUGCAGAACCAGCACGGUGUUUCCCCUCCCCAGCGUAGCACAACCAGCUGCAGCCUUUUAAAGUCUCCUAUCGUUUUGCUAGCACAAUGACUGCCUACGCAAAGGUUGGCAUCCAUGUCAAGAGAACAUUCUCCAGCUGGGGCCUGCAGUACAGAGAAUUGUAUACUCCAGAGGGCUCAUGGGACCGUAGGCAGAUUAUUAUGGUAAUAUUGGAGACUGCUGUCCUCUCCCUCCCACAGCUGGGCCGCCUCUCUCAUUGCUGCCAUAAUCCUUCGAGCAGGACGGAACAGUGCUGUGAAGAUGGAUGCUUCAAAAUGUCCUGUGAAGUGGUGGUGAAAGUACAUGCAGAGAAAUCACCCCAGCUGCUAAUAAAGCUUUUACUUCUUUCUUUGGA